rnacentral:rRNA from 1 species
AAAUUUUCAACGAUGGAUAUCUUGGUUCCCAUAACGAUGAAGAACGCAGCGAAAUGCGAUACGCAAUGCGAAUUGCAGAAUUCCGCGAGUCAUCAGAUCUUUGAACGCAUACCGCACCAGAGGGAUAUCCUUCUGGUAUGUUUGUUUCAGUGUG